rnacentral:lncRNA from 1 species
CCAUGGUACUGUCCCGCCUUGCCCAUCGGAACGAUGUCUCCAGGCCUGAAGCAAGCGAAAUCGAGGGUAGAGUCAAGAUCCAGAAAAGAAGAGGCAAGACGGGAAACCACGGUGAUCUCCCGCCAUGGCCGCGACCCGGGCCCGAGCUUUCGUGGGUGACGUAAAGAAGAGCGAGCGGGAUCAAAACGAACAGCGCCCCAAACCCUAGCACAUACGAGAUACGACCAGAGGUUACGGUCACCGACAGUAAGAACACGUACCCGCCUUAAACGCGACUCCUAAAGCAAGGCUUUGUGCUUUGGGUGCCAAUACGCGUGGCGUAAUGUGAGUGGUGGGAAGAUCCUCGGGGAAGCCACGAUAGCUGCUGACUCGGAGUAGAAAGAGGUCGAACGGAUAUUGGAACAUCCUACUAUCCUAGUCACAUCUCAACACGUACGUCCUCCUUUUUUUUUUUUUUUUGCUGAAAUCACGUACGUCCUCCUUCGCACCCAAUUAGAUGGGCACAAACAACAAGGCCGUGCUCGACACGAUAAGGUUUGG